AUGCCAUAUUUCUUCUUGGAUGGACAAACUCAAUAUUCCACUGCCAAGUCACUAAAAUCCUCUCCUAUAGAGGUGGAGUUAAAGCAUUAGGUUCGAUAUUGCUAAUCAACGACUUUAGUUUGUACUACUUGCUUCAGCCACUCAGCCACUAACAUUAACCACACUCAAAAUCCCAGACCCUUUAGUUCCGUUUUAGAUCCAUGAUCACUGGGAAAUCAAAGGGGAACCCACGUUGGGAUCUUUGUAUCUUUUUGAAACUGGUUGAU
rnacentral:lncRNA from 1 species